CUCAGGGCCGUCUCGGAGGGAGGGUGGGUUCGUGACGCGGUGUCCAGGCCGGGAUUACUAGAACAGUGAGUGCCCUGGAGAUAAGGGCGGCUUCUUCGCCUCUGGAAAAAUCUUGGGAUUCUGUGCUUCUGAAUUCAGGGUACAUCGCACACAGGAUUCAAGCUCAUCUGAUACUGAAAACACGAUCUCCAAGCCCAGUUAUAGAGCUUCUUCCCUUUACCAGGUCGUGGGGGUCAGAAAUUCAGACUGUGCACAGUCGUGACGAUGUCUCUGCUCCUUGAUGUCUGGGCAUCAGCCGGGAAGCCUGAAGGGUGGGCGUGACGUGACUGCAGGGGCUGGAAUCAUCUGGAAGCAUCUCCUCUCCCGUGUCUGGCGGGUGACACUGGGUGAUGACGGGGCCUCUCCAGCAAUGGCUGCUCUACGUGGUCUCUCCGAGUAGACUAGCCUGGGCGUCUUUACAGCACGGACACUGGAUCCCAAAAGCAAGAAGCAGUUUGAAAAAGUGCUGCAAGUUCACCAAGAAGCCAGGAAGCUUGGGAGGAAAGAGCGGCCAGGGCAGGACCUGGGUCCCUUUUCCUUCCAAGGAACCAGUGAUAACUUGGCGGGAUGAUUGCGUUUUGGAUCUGCGCCACGAGGAAGGGCUCAGCCCCACAUUUUCCCAGGUCAAUGCUCACCGCUCAGCAGAGAACAUGAAAAGCAUCCAUAAAAGGGACAUCGAGGAUUUUGUUGGCCAUGAACCUCAAAGAUGAAUUUUCCUAUCACGUUUUUUAUGAAUAUGCGUUUUAAAGCCUUCCUAAUGCCGGCUGACCCUCUCCAGAACCCAUGAACUUCCUCCUAAGGUGACGACUGGUGGUGUUAACUCAGCCAGGAGAAGACUUUGGGUGAUGCGCUGUGCUUUAACUAACACAUGGAACUGAUAGAGGUGAUUAUCUUUCUUAUUUUUUUCAUGGCUAGCAGAGGGAAGAUUUUGUCUUCUUUGAUCUUCUUAAGUCCAUAGACAGGAUCGGGCCCUCUGUGGGGAACUUGGGGGGAUCCCGAGUAGGCAGGAGAUGUGUGGCCCCCCAAAGUGUCCAAAGGCUCUGAGUGUUAAUAAGAACAGAUACAAUUAAGAUGUGGGUUUUAAAAUUGGUUUGAUUUUCUUUCGGUGUGAUUAUUUGCAUAGAUAAUCCAGUCACUGCGUGGAGAAAUACGCAGCAACAAGUCACCCCGACUGCUCAGUGCCCGUCACUUCCUCCCACAGGUGCCUGCUGUCUAACACCCACUCCCACGGUUUCUGAGGCAUAUACAAACAAAUUCAGAGGCACGUUCUUACGCCCACCUUGUUUUUAAAACUGAAACUAGUAUUUUCUGCCCUGACCAGAGUGGCUCACUUGGUUAAGCAUUGUCCCACAAAGCAAAAGGUCGCUGGUUCAAUUCCCAGUCAGGGCACAUGCUGUGGUUGAGGGUCUGAUCC